rnacentral:rRNA from 1 species
UGUGGACGCCAGUCUGCAUGGAGCCGACCUUGAAAUACCACCCUUUAAUGUUUGAUGUUCUAACGUGGACCCGUAAUCCGGGUUGCGGACAGUGUCUGGUGGGUAGUUUGACUGGGGCGGUCUCCUCCUAAAGAGUAACGGAGGAGCACGAAGGUUGGCUAAUCCUGGUCGGACAUCAGGAGGUUAGUGCAAUGGCAUAAGCCAGCUUGACUGCGAGCGUGACGGCGCGAGCAGGUGCGAAAGCAGGUCAUAGUGAUCCGGUGGUUCUGAAUGGAAGGGCCAUCGCUCAACGGAUAAAAGGUACUCCGGGGAUAACAGGCUGAUACCGCCCAAGAGUUCAUAUCGACGGCGGUGUUUGGCACCUCGAUGUCGGCUCAUCACAUCCUGGGGCUGAAGUAGGUCCCAAGGGUAUGGCUGUUCGCCAUUUAAAGUGGUACGCGAGCUGGGUUUAGAACGUCGUGAGACAGUUCGGUCCCUAUCUGCCGUGGGCGCUGGAGAAUUGAGGGGGGCUGCUCCUAGUACGAGAGGACCGGAGUGGACGCAUCACUGGUGUUCGGGUUGUCAUGCCAAUGGCACUGCCCGGUAGCUAAAUGCGGAAGAGAUAAGUGCUGAAAGCAUCUAAGCACGAAACUUGCCCCGAGAUGAGUUCUCCCUGACUCCUUGAGAGUCCUGAAGGAACGUUGAAGACGACGACGUUGAUAGGCCGGGUGUGUAAGCGCAGCGAUGCGUUGAGCUAACCGGUACUAAUGAACCGUGAGGCUUAACCUUACAACGCCGAAG